rnacentral:rRNA from 1 species
GGGGAAUCUUGCACAAUGGGGGCAACCCUGAUGCAGCGACGCCGCGUGAGCGAUGAAGCCCUUCGGGGCGUAAAGCUCUUUCGACCGGAACGAUAAUGACGGUACCGGGAGAAGAAGCUGCGGCUAACUACGUGCCAGCAGCCGCGGUAAUACGUAGGCAGCAAGCGUUGUUCGGAGUUACUGGGCGUAAAGAGUGCGUAGGCGGCGCGGUAAGUCACUUGUGAAAUCUCUGAGCUUAACUCAGAACGGCCAAGUGAUACUGCUGCGCUAGAGUGCGGAAGAGGCAACCGGAAUUCUUGGUGUAGCGGUGAAAUGCGUAGAUAUCAAGAGGAACACCUGAGGCGAAGGCGGGUUGCUGGGCCGACACUGACGCUGAUGCGCGAAAGCCAGGGGAGCAAACG